GAGUCCCUACGGGAGGCAGCAGUGGGGGAUAUUGCACAAUGGGGGGAACCCUGAUGCAGCGACGCCGCGUGGGCGAUGGAGUACUUCGGUAUGUAAAGCCCUAUCAGCAGGGAAGAAAAUGACGGUACCUGACUAAGAAGCCCCGGCUAAAUACGUGCCAGCAGCCGCGGUAAUACGUAUGGGGCAAGCGUUAUCCGGAUUUACUGGGUGUAAAGGGAGCGCAGGCGGCUUGGCAAGUCUGAUGUGAAAGGCUGGGGCUCAACCCCAGGACUGCAUUGGAAACUGUUAGGCUGGAGUGUCGGAGG
rnacentral:rRNA from 1 species